rnacentral:rRNA from 1 species
UACGUAGGGGGCAAGCGUUGUCCGGAAUCAUUGGGCGUAAAGCGCGUGUAGGCGGUUCGAUAAGUCUGCUGUGAAAGUCCAGGGCUCAACCCUGGAAAGCCGGUGGAUACUGUCGGACUAGAGUGCGGAAGAGGCGAGUGGAAUUCCCGGUGUAGCGGUGAAAUGCGCAGAUAUCGGGAGGAACACCAAUUGCGAAGGCAGCUCGCUGGGACGUUACUGACGCUGAGACGCGAAAGCGUGGGGAGCGAACAGG